GGCAGUGGCAGCUCAGUGGUUAAGGCGUUGGACUAUUGAUCAGAAAGUUGUGAGUACAAAUCCCAUUGAACUCACUACCA